rnacentral:rRNA from 1 species
CCAUGGAGCUUUAAACCCAGCAAUUACACCUGUUUAAGUAUACCCCUAUAAAUAACAGAACCCUACUUGUCUGGUUUUAGGUUGGGGUGACCGCGGAGCACAAAUCAACCUCCAUGAUGAAUGGGCUAACCCCCUUACCCAAGAGCCACACCUCUAAGAAUUAGUAAUCUAACAUAAACUGAUCCGAUCAUCGAUCAACGAACCAAGUUACCCUGGGGAUAACAGCGCAAUCCACUUUAAGAGCCCCUAUCGACA